UUUCCGUAGGUGAACCUGCGGAAGGAUCAUUCAUAAUAAGUGUUUUAUGGCACUUUUUUAAAUCCAUAUCCACCUUGUGUGCAAUGUCAGGGUUGCUUUUUCUCUCGAGAGGAUCAACCCCAAACAUCAACUAUAUCUCAACUCUUUGUCUGAAAAAUAUUAUGAAUAAAACAAUUCAAAAUACAACUUUCAACAACGGAUCUCUUGGCUCUC
rnacentral:misc_RNA from 1 species